UUCUACAGGCCUCUCUUUCCCGGUCUCCCCUACGAGAACGCGAGACGCCCCGACUCUAGGGUUCCGUCGGCAGCCGCACUCCAUCCUUCCGAUCCCGGCAACCCUUGCCACCCUCUCCCAUCCCCAGUCACCAUCGUAGUCCCUCGACACCGGUCAAUAUCCUUGACGAAGCCUCGCCUGCCGGCUCCUUGCAGCACGCCGCCCGCCGGUGGACACCCUAAUUGUGCGCGAACCCGCCGGGGAGUCACCUCGUCACCUCCAUGCCUUUCGCAGGAUCUCCGCCACCGCCCCGUGCUGCUGUGCGCAAGGAUACCGCCGCCUCUCCCUGGUACCUCCAUCUCCACUUCCUCGGGGCACUGCUCGCCGGCUCAUGACCUGCUAUGGAGUUGACUUUUGCGCACACAAGCUCCCCUAUUCUGGCUCUGCUGGCUCCCGUGGUUGAGCAGAGCGAGCAGAUCGACAGAGGAAAUACUCACCUGAUUUUCCUGAUUAUGUUGGGCAUGGAGAUUGAUCUGGUAUUUUUGGUUGUCCUUAGAUUCAAGGAUGACAGUGCCCACACCUUUUCCUGGUGUUUGGGCAAAGGCAUGUAUGUCCGAUGUGCGAGCAAAGCGAUGAAACAAUGGUUGUUGUUUACGUAUCUGGCGGCACUCGACGGUUACAGUUUUGGGAGCAGUAGUGUUGCUUGCUAGCAUACUUUUUCUUACAUAUAUGAACUGAUGAUGCUUUAUUUGGUGUUGCUUCCCAUGGCACUACAUUAUGGCUUUGUUGAUGAUGAUUUCUGCUGAUGUGCAUAGUUGAGUUUUUUCUGCACUUUCGAUUUAAGAUAGGUGCAAGUAAAACAAUGACUUCACAUUGGCUAAAUCGCUUACUGUUGUUUAUGCUCGUGCAGCAGCAGAGGAAUAGACUCGGCAAGUAAAGGAGCUACAUCAAUAUAGUCGGUGGAAUUAACAGGCAAAGUAAAUCCUGAAGCUCCUGGUUGUACCAAGAGUCAGUUGUCAUCGGUGGCCUACCAGCAACACUGGUAAAAGAACAAGGGUGGCCGGAUACCGGAAACAGGGGAUCUUUAAUUGGCCAAGCCACCAUCGCUCCAUCGUCCCCGGAGAUCGUUUGGUGACGUCCAGUGCAUAUCACAUUCUGUAGUGGAGGCGCAGACUCCCCCGCCCCAGCUUUGGCGCCGCCAUCUACCAAUGCGCAGAACAAGCCUGACUGACACGGCCUACAUCUUGAUUGUAACUCUCAUCUUCUAUCUCUUGUUCAUGUGGUCACAUUGAUUUUUCCUUUUGAGAAAGGGUUGAAAAAAAUUCUUUGCUUCAGACAACUGAAUGUCCAGUAAUAUUAUCAACCUUCAGCGA